rnacentral:rRNA from 1 species
GACGAACGCUGGCGGCGUGCCUAAUACAUGAAAGUCGAACGCAGUGGCGGACGGGUGAGUAACACGUGGGUAACCUACCCAUCAGAGGGGGAUAACAAUUGGAAACGGGGUCUAAUAACGGAUAGUGUGGGAUGGGCCCGCGGCCUAUCAGAUUGUUGGUGGGGUAAUGGCCGACCAAGGCGGCGACGGGUAGCCGGCCUGAGAGGGGGGACGGCCACAUUGGGCCUGAGACACGGCCCAGACUCCUACGGGACGCAGCAUGGGGGAAUAUUGCACAAUGGGCGGAAGCCUGAUGCAGCGACGCCGCGUGGGGGAUGACGGCCUUCGGGUUGUAAACUCCUUUCACCAUCGACGCGGUAGAUGGAGAAGAAGCACCGGCUAACUACGUGCCAGCAGCCGCGGUAAUAC